rnacentral:rRNA from 1 species
CACGUAGGGCGCAAGCGUUGUCCGGAAUUAUUGGGCGUAAAGAGCUCGUAGGCGGUCUGUUGCGUCCGCUGUGAAAACUCGGGCUUAACCCCGAGCCUGCAGUGGAUACGGGCAGACUAGAGGUAGGUAGGGGAGAAUGGAAUUCCCGGUGUAGCGGUGAAAUGCGCAGAUAUCGGGAGGAACACCGGUGGCGAAGGCGGGUCUCUGGGCCGAUACUGACGCUGAGGAGCGAAAGCAUGGGUAGCGAACAGG